GUCUGCAACUCGACUACAUGAAGCUGGAAUCGCUAGUAAUCGCAGAUCAGAAUGCUGCGGUGAAUACGUUCCCGGGUCUUGUACACACCGCCCGUCACACCAUGGGAGUCGGAAAUGCCCGAAGCCGGUGACCAAACCAAUAAGGAAGGAGCCGUCGAAGGCAGGUCUGAUAACUGGGGUGAAGUCGUAACAAGGUAAC
rnacentral:rRNA from 1 species